UACGUAGGUGGCGAGCGUUGUUCGGAUUUACUGGGCGUAAAGGGCGCGUAGGCGGUCAGCACAAGUCAGUUGUGAAAUCUCCGAGCUUAACUCGGAAAGGUCAACUGAUACUGUGCGACUAGAGUGCAGAAGGGGCAACUGGAAUUCUUGGUGUAGCGGUGAAAUGCGUAGAUAUCAAGAGGAACACCUGCGACGAAGGCGGGUUGCUGGGCUGACACUGACGCUGAAGCGCGAAAGCCAGGGGAGCGAACGGG
rnacentral:rRNA from 1 species